rnacentral:rRNA from 1 species
AAUAGAUACCCUGGUAGUCCAUGCCGUAAACGUUGGGCACUAGGUGUGGGGGACAUUCCACGUUUUCCGCGCCGUAGCUAACGCAUUAAGUGCCCCGCCUGGGGAGUACGGCCGCAAGGCUAAAACUCAAAGGAAUUGACGGGGGCCCGCACAAGCGGCGGAGCAUGCGGAUUAAUUCGAUGCAACGCGAAGAACCUUACCAAGGCUUGACAUGGACCGGAUCGCUGCAGAAAUGUGGUUUCUCCUUUUGGGGCCGGUUCACAGGUGGUGCAUGGUUGUCGUCAGCUCGUGUCGUGAGAUGUUGGGUUAAGUCCCGCAACGAGCGCAACCCUCGUUCCAUGUUGCCAGCACGUGAUGGUGGGGACUCAUGGGAGACUGCCGGGGUCAACUCGGAGGAAGGUGGGGACGAUGGUCAAAUCAUCAUGCCCCUUAUGUCUUGGGCUUCACGCAUGCUACAAUGGCCGGUACAAAGGGUUGCGAUACUGUGAGGUGGAGCUAAUCCCAAAAAGCCGGUCUCAGUUCGGAUUGGGGUCUGC